GCUUCUGCGCUUGCAAAAUGGCUGCGUCGUGUUUUUCUUAGUGAAAUCAUAUGAAAUAGCCGUUUUAUAGUGAAAUUUACGAUCAUAAUUUAUUAAUUUAUUGUUUUAAUAAAUUUAUCUCGGACGUAGUGACCAUGUAAAUCAUUUAAAGUGUUAAGAAAGGAACAUUAAAUGUUAACUGGUGCAACUGAACAUUGAUUAUUCGUUUGGCGUUUCACCUAACAGGAACCCGCCACGAUUUACCAGAUAGAUAAUAACCCAGUUAAUACAUUAUUUCUAAUUUAGUUACAGCAUGUCAAACAGUGUUGUUAAGGUUACUGAAUUGCCAACAAAUGAGGGUUUAUUUGUUCUUAAAGGAAAAGACGGAGUUAUAAUGCCAGAUCGAGAAACAUUAGAAAAAUAUUUGAGUGGACGAAAACAAGAAACUGAAAUAAACUUAAUUUGUAUUAAUGAGGCUUAUGGAAACAAUAU